ensembl:lncRNA
GUAGAUCCUGAUGUUUUUACAUAGUGAUGAUAGUAAUACUGACAUACCUAACAAUAUUAACAUAAACCAUUAUAAUACAAACUUUAAUGAACGAUCAAGAUAUAAUUAUUUUAAUAAUAACAUGGAUGAUUAUUACUUACCUAUAUUGUCAGGUAAUAAUGAACAUUUUAAUUUUGAACAAGUAAACGAAAUUAUAACUAAUAAAAAUCACUUAAACCAUUUUAUGAAUACAUAUUACUUAAAUAGGGAUACAUAUGGUGGUAGUAUUAGUAAUAGUAGUGGAAGAAGAAAAAAAAAAAAUACACAAAUGAAUUAUACAAAAAUAAAUAAUCCAUCGUAUGAAGCGGACCUAAACAAUUUUCUUAACGCAAAUAACCAAACAAUGGAAUUUGUAUUACAAGAAGAACGUCGUUUAGAAAAAAAUGUAUACAUAUAUAACAAUAUUAACUAUGUAAAUAUUAAUUAUAAAAAUUGGUUAUUAGUAUAUAAAACAUAUAUUGAAAAGUUAACUUAUUUAAUGGAUUUAGUUUUAAAAAUUAAAAAUAAUGCAAUUAGAAAAAAAAAUUAUAAUUUAAAAAGUUAUUUUUUUAUUGUAAAUAAUAUACAAAAACAUUUGGACAAUAUUUCUUUAAUUAUGAAAUCAUCUUAUUAUAUUAAUUAUAAUAUUCAAAUAACACCAAUCUUAUUUGUUGUUUAUUUAUUUAUUACCAUCUUUUUUUUUUCAUAUAAUAACAAAUUUGCUAUUGACUACUUUUCCAAUAUGAACAAAGGAUUUUAUAAUUUAAUGAAAGGGAAAAGUGCACAUAUUUUAAAACAACUUAUUAAUGUUAAAAAGGAAGGCUCAGGUAGAGUAGGUGGAGCAGACGAAGCAGAUGGUGCAUACGAAGCAAAUAGUACAAAUGGAAACACACAGAACACUUCAAAAAAACUGAACUUAUCUAAAAAUUUUUCAAAAAACAUUUUAAAUCAAGAUUUUGAACUUAACAAAUUAGAAUUUUCAAAGAAAGGAGGUCGUUCAAGUAGUUUAACUAACACUAACCUUCGAAGUUAUAAUAAAACGAGUAACAUAAGGGAUGGUAAUAACAAUAUUGAUAGUGGUAGUAGUAGUGGUAGUAGUAUUGGUAGUAGUAGUAGUAGUAGUGAUAAUGGUGGAAUAGAAAGAAGUAAAAGUAAUGAAAAUGCAUUAUUUAAAAGAACAGAAAAGAAUAAACAUGUUCAUUUUACUGGAAUUGAAAAUGGAAAAGUAUUUAGUAGACACAAGUUAAGGGACAUACACAACAAUCGUAGUAGCAGCAGUAACAGUAGCAACAGCAGCAGUAGUAGUAGUAGUAGUAGUACUACUACUACUAUAAGUUAUGGAAAUAACAAUGGUACGAUCUCUGAUGAUAUUAUACGUGAAAGUCAAAACUAUUACGAUAUUCACAAUGAAUAUUCAAAACUGUUGUUAAAAAGUAACAAUUUCAUUGAUGAUUUAUUAUUACUGUUAAUAACAAUAAUAACAAAAAAACAUUCAAUUUUAAAUAAAUAUACUAUUAUAUAUAUAUAUGAAUGUUUAUAUACACUUUUAAAUAUGUAUCAUAAUAAUUGCUAUUUACGUAAUAGAAAUAAUUUAGAAAUGGAUGAUAACAAAAAAAAUAUGUUCCUAUCUUUAAUUAAACAUAUACCAUUUGAAAAAUUAAAUAAGUUUAUUAACACACUAUUAAUAGAUUCUUAUAAAAAUUUUAUAACUAAUAAAAAUACCAUCAUCCCAAUUUAUUUUUAUAAUAAUAUAUAUAAGUUUAUUGAUUAUAAUACAGAAAUUUUUAUUUUGAAAAAAGAAUUAAAUGGAUAUAAAAAUGUACCAGCACC